UAAAAUUUAUAAAAUUAGGUAGUAGAGAAAUUUCUGAAACCUAAAGAAUUUGGCGGUAUUUUAAAUAAUUGGAGGAACCUGUUAUUUAAUUGACAACCCACAACACAUCUUUCCUAAAUUUUAUUUGUAUAUCGCCGUUUUGGAAAUAUUUUAAAAUUAUAACCAAUAUCAAUAAAUUUUUAAAAAUCAGGUCAAGGUGCAGUAUAUUUAGGGUAUAAUGGGUUACAAUAUAUGAAUAUAUUAUGGAUAUAAAAUUAAAAAUAUAUUUGAAAGUGGAUUCAAAAGUAAAGUUAAAUUAAAAUGUUGAUUUGAUUUAUAAUUUAAAAUAUGC
rnacentral:rRNA from 1 species